GGAACUCUGGUGUAGCUGGUGCGCACGCCAGUCUGAAAAGCUGGAGGUCUCGGCUCGAAUCCGAGGGGUUCCA
rnacentral:tRNA from 1 species